UACGUAGGGUGCAAGCGUUGUCCGGAAUCAUUGGGCGUAAAGCGCGCGUAGGUGGUCAUGUAAGUCCGCUGUGAAAGUCAAAGGCUCAACCUUUGAAAGCCGGUGGAUACUGCAUGACUAGAGUACGGAAGAGGCGAGUGGAAUUCCUGGUGUAGCGGUGGAAUGCGCAGAUAUCAGGAGGAACACCAAUAGCGAAGGCAGCUCGCUGGGACGUUACUGACACUGAGGCGCGAAGGCCAGGGGAGCAAACGGG
rnacentral:rRNA from 1 species